rnacentral:rRNA from 1 species
GUGCCAGCAGCCGCGGUAAUACGAAGGGGGCUAGCGUUGUUUCGGAAUUACUGGGCGUAAAGCGGUGCGCAGGCGGCGCAUUAAGACAGGUGUGAAACCCCCGGGCUUAACCUGGGAACUGCGCUUGUGACUGAUGUGCUUGAGUGCGGCAGAGGGGGGUGGAAUUCCUGGUGUAGCAGUGAAAUGCGUAGAGAUCAGGAGGAACACCGAUGGCGAAGGCGGCCCUCUGGACGGCUACUGACGCUGAGACGCGAAAGCGUGGGGAGCAAACAGGAUUAGAUACCCCGGUAGUCCUAGCCCUAAACGAUGGGCACUAGGUGUAGGAGGUGUCGACCCCUCCUGUGCCGUAUCUAACGCAUUAAGUGCCCCGCCUGGGGAGUAUGGUCGCAAGGCUGAAACUCAAAUGAAUUGACGG